rnacentral:miRNA from 1 species
GCAGACACAUUCCAGCCAAUCAGCAGCAGACUCUCCCUCCCAAACCUUUCCACCUCCUGGACAGCUCACUAAGAAAUGAGUGAGCUGUCCAGGAUUAAUGUAAAAUGGAUGCUGUCCAGGAGGUGGGAGGGUCUGGGAGGGAGGGUCUGCUGCUGAUUGGCUGGAAUGUGUCUG